rnacentral:rRNA from 1 species
AAAAUCUUCCUUACAAUCCGAAGACGUGAUGUGGACCGAACCAAAGUAGGGAAGCAUGUGAGCCAUGUGCCAAGAAAAGCCGCUAGUGUGAUACACAUACCCGUACCGUAAACCGACACAGGUGGAUGAGGAGAGAAUCCUAAGGCCGACGGAAGAAGCAUUGUUAAGGAACUCGGCAAAAUGACCCCGUAACUUCGGGAGAAGGGGUGCCCUGUGAAAGCAGGGCCGCAGAGAAUAGGCUCAAGCAACUGUUUAGCAAAAACACAGGUCUAUGCGAAACCGAAAGGUGAGGUAUAUGGGCUGACGCCUGCCCGGUGCUGGAAGGUUAAGAGGAGAAGUCAGGCAACGAAGCUUCGAAUUUAAGCCCCAGUAAACGGCGGCCGUAACAAUACGGUCCUAAGGUAGCGAAAUUCCUUGUCGGGUAAGUUCCGACCCGCACGAAAGGCGUAAUGAUUCGAGCACUGUCUCGACAAUGCAUCCGGUGAAAUUGAAGUACCAGUGAAGAUGCUGGUUACCUGCGCCAGGACGGAAAGACCCCAUGGAGCUUUACUCCAGCUUGAUACUGGGAUUCGAUACUGUAUGUACAGGAUAGGUGGGAGACGUUGAACAUAGAACGCCAGUUUUAUGUGAGUCGCUGUUGGGAUACCACCCUUGCAGUAUUGGAUUUCUAACCUGCACCCAUGACCUGGGUGGGGGACAAUGUCUGGCGGGGAGUUUGACUGGGGCGGUCGCCUCCGAAAGGGUAUCGGAGGCGCUCAAAGGUUCCCUCAGAAUGGUUGGAAACCAUUCGAAGAGUGCAAAGGCAGAAGGGAGCUUGACUGUGACACCGACGGGUGGAACAGGUACGAAAGUAGGACUUUGUGAUCCGGUGGUAUAAAGUGGGAUUGCCAUCGCUCAACGGAUAAAAGCUACCCUGGGAUAACAGGCUUAUCACUCCCAAGAGUUCACAUCGACGGAGUGGUUUGGCACCUCGAUGUCGGCUCAUCGCAUCCUGGGGCUGUAGCAGGUCCCAAGGGUUGGGCUGUUCGCCCAUUAAAGCGGUACGCGAGCUGGGUUCAGAACGUCGUGAGACAGUUCGGUCCCUAUCCGGCGCAGGCGGAGGAUAUUUGAGAGGAGCUGUCCUUAGUACGAGAGGACCGGGAUGGACGGACCACUGGUGUAUCUGUUGGCUAUCGGAGCCAUGGCAGAGUAGCCAAGUCCGGCAGGGAUAAACGCUGAAGGCAUCUAAGCGUGAAGCCCCCCUCAAGAUGAGAUAUCCCUCAGAAAUGAGUAAGACCCCUUGAAGACUACGAGGUAGAUAGGAAUGAGGUGUAAGCACAGCAAUGUGUUCAGCUGACAUUUACUAAUCGGUCGAGGGCUUGACCUA